AGUGAACGCUGGCGGUAGGCCUAACACAUGCAAGUCGAACGGCAGCACAGUAAGAGCUUGCUCUUACGGGUGGCGAGUGGCGGACGGGUGAGGAAUACAUCGGAAUCUACUUUUUCGUGGGGGAUAACGUAGGGAAACUUACGCUAAUACCGUAUACGACCUACGGGUGAAAGCAGGGGAUCUUCGGACCUUGCGCGAUUGAAUGAGCCGAUGUCGGAUUAGCUAGUUGGCGGGGUAAAGGCCCACCAAGGCGACGAUCCGUAGCUGGUCUGAGAGGAUGAUCAGCCACACUGGAACUGAGACACGGUCCAGACCCCUACGGGAGGCAGCAGUGGGGAAUAUUGGACAAUGGGCGCAAGCCUGAUCCAGCCAUACCGCGUGGGUGAAGAAGGCCUUCGGGUUGUAAAGCCCUUUUGUUGGGAAAGAAAAGCAGCAGGUUAAUACCCCGCUGUUCUGACGGUACCCAAAGAAUAAGCACCGGCUAACUUCGUG
rnacentral:rRNA from 1 species